GUCUAUGGCCAUGCUAUCCUGAACAAGCCUGAUCCCGUCUGAUCUUGGAAGCUAAGCAGGGUCGGGCUUGGUUAGUACUUGGAUGGGAGACCGCCUAGGAAGACCAAGUGCUGUAGGCG
rnacentral:rRNA from 1 species